AUUGAACGCUGGCGGCAGGCUUAACACAUGCAAGUCGAGCGGGGAAAGGUAGCUUGCUACCUGACCUAGCGGCGGACGGGUGAGUAAUGCUUAGGAAUCUGCCUAUUAGUGGGGGACAACAUCUCGAAAGGGAUGCUAAUACCGCAUACGUCCUACGGGAGAAAGCAGGGGACCUUCGGGCCUUGCGCUAAUAGAUGAGCCUAAGUCGGAUUAGCUAGUUGGUGGGGUAAAGGCCUACCAAGGCGACGAUCUGUAGCGGGUCUGAGAGGAUGAUCCGCCACACUGGGACUGAGACACGGCCCAGACUCCUACGGGAGGCAGCAGUGGGGAAUAUUGGACAAUGGGGGGAACCCUGAUCCAGCCAUGCCGCGUGUGUGAAGAAGGCCUUUUGGUUGUAAAGCACUUUAAGCGAGGAGGAGGCUACCGAGAUUAAUACUCUUGGAUAGUGGACGUUACUCGCAGAAUAAGCACCGACUAACUCUGUG
rnacentral:rRNA from 1 species